UCAAAAACAUGUCUUAUAGAAAAUAAUUUUAAGUCAAAUCUGCCCAAUGAAAUUUUUAAUGGCUGCAGUAUUAAUAACUGUACAAAGGUAGCAUAAUAAAUAGUUUUUUAAUUAAAAACUAGAAUGAAUGAUUUAAUGAAAUAUAAACUAUAUAAAAAUAAUUAAUAUUUAAAUUUAAAAUUUAAGUAAAAAUUCUUAAAUUUAAUUAAUAGACGAUAAGACCCUAUAGAAUUUUAUAAUAAAAUAUUUUAAAAAUAAAUUUAUUAUUUAAUUGGGGUAAUUUUAAAAUUAAAUAAACUUUUAAUAUUAAAACAUUAAUAAAUGAUUUAAAAAUCCUAAAUUUUAGAUUUUUAAAAUAAAUUACCUUAG
rnacentral:rRNA from 1 species